rfam:Fukomys damarensis contig142267, whole genome shotgun sequence.
GGAUGUGAGGGUGAUCUGGCUGUGACAUCUGUCACCCCACUGAUGGCCAGGGUUGAUUCGGCUCUCCGGCUGAUGAGGCAGUGUCCCCUUCCUCCCUCACCACUUCCUGUGCUCCCUGUGUAAAGGAUGACCAACCCAUUUGAGAGGAAUCACUUCCUUGGUGAAGGGUAUACCAGUGGCUGUGCUCUCCUGCUAGGACCUCCAAAUAAGCUCUCAAAUUCCCCUGGUCUUCCUUUUUGGCUGAAGAGGAAACAAGCCUUUAGAGAGAAACUUGGCUACAACUAUUGAGGUUCUUAUCUGUAGAAGCAACACCUAUU